rnacentral:rRNA from 1 species
GGGUUGUGAGGUUAAGCGACUAAGCGUACACGGUGGAUGCCCUGGCAGUCAGAGGCGAUGAAGGACGUGCUAAUCUGCGAAAAGCGUCGGUAAGGUGAUAUGAACCGUUAUAACCGGCGAUGUCCGAAUGGGGAAACCCAGUGUGAUUCGUCACACUAUCGUUAACUGAAUACAUAGGUUAACGAGGCGAACCGGGGGAACUGAAACAUCUAAGUACCCCGAGGAAAAGAAAUCAACCGAGAUUCCCCCAGUAGCGGCGAGCGAACGGGGAGCAGCCCAGAGUCUGAAUCAGCUUGUGUGUUAGUGGAACGGUCUGGAAAGUCCGACGGUACAGGGUGAUAGUCCCGUACACCAAAAUGCACAGGCUGUGAACUCGAAGAGUAGGGCGGGACACGUGGUAUCCUGUCUGAAUAUGGGGGGACCAUCCUCCAAGGCUAAAUACUCCUGACUGACCGAUAGUGAACCAGUACCGUGAGGGAAAGGCGAAAAGAACCCCGGCGAGGGGAGUGAAAAAGAACCUGAAACCGUGUACGUACAAGCAGUGGGAGCACCUUCGGGUGUGACUGCGUACCUUUUGUAUAAUGGGUCAGCGACUUAUAUUCUGUAGCAAGGUUAACCGUAUAGGGGAGCCGCAGGGAAACCGAGUCUUAACUGGGCGUUAAGUUGCAGGGUAUAGACCCGAAACCCGGUGAUCUAGCCAUGGGCAGGUUGAAGGUUGGGUAACACUAACUGGAGGACCGAACCGACUAAUGUUGAAAAAUUAGCGGAUGACUUGUGGCUGGGGGUGAAAGGCCAAUCAAACCGGGAGAUAGCUGGUUCUCCCCGAAAGCUAUUUAGGUAGCGCCUCGUGAAUUCAUCUUCGGGGGUAGAGCACUGUUUCGGCUAGGGGGUCAUCCCGACUUACCAACCCGAUGCAAACUACGAAUACCGAAGAAUGUUAUCACGGGAGACACACGGCGGGUGCUAACGUCCGUCGUGAAGAGGGAAACAACCCAGACCGCCAGCUAAGGUCCCAAAGUCAUGGUUAAGUGGGAAACGAUGUGGGAAGGCACAGACAGCCAGGAUGUUGGCUUAGAAGCAGCCAUCAUUUAAAGAAAGCGUAAUAGCUCACUGGUCGAGUCGGCCUGCGCGGAAGAUGUAACGGGGCUAAACCAUGCACCGAAGCUGCGGCAGCGACACUAUGUGUUGUUGGGUAGGGGAGCGUUCUGUAAGCCUGCGAAGGUGUGCUGUGAGGCAUGCUGGAGGUAUCAGAAGUGCGAAUGCUGACAUAAGUAACGAUAAAGCGGGUGAAAAGCCCGCUCGCCGGAAGACCAAGGGUUCCUGUCCAACGUUAAUCGGGGCAGGGUGAGUCGACCCCUAAGGCGAGGCCGAAAGGCGUAGUCGAUGGGAAACAGGUUAAUAUUCCUGUACUUGGUGUUACUGCGAAGGGGGGACGGAGAAGGCUAUGUUAGCCGGGCGACGGUUGUCCCGGUUUAAGCAUGUAGGCUGGUUAUCCAGGCAAAUCCGGAUAAUCAAGGCUGAGGUGUGAUGACGAGGCACUACGGUGCUGAAGUAACAAAUGCCCUGCUUCCAGGAAAAGCCUCUAAGCAUCAGGUAACAUCAAAUCGUACCCCAAACCGACACAGGUGGUCAGGUAGAGAAUACCAAGGCGCUUGAGAGAACUCGGGUGAAGGAACUAGGCAAAAUGGUGCCGUAACUUCGGGAGAAGGCACGCUGGUGUGUAGGUGAAGUCCCUGCGGAUGGAGCUGAGACCAGUCGAAGAUACCAGCUGGCUGCAACUGUUUAUUAAAAACACAGCACUGUGCAAACACGAAAGUGGACGUAUACGGUGUGACGCCUGCCCGGUGCCGGAAGGUUAAUUGAUGGGGUUAUCCGUAAGGAGAAGCUCUUGAUCGAAGCCCCGGUAAACGGCGGCCGUAACUAUAACGGUCCUAAGGUAGCGAAAUUCCUUGUCGGGUAAGUUCCGACCUGCACGAAUGGCGUAAUGAUGGCCAGGCUGUCUCCACCCGAGACUCAGUGAAAUUGAACUCGCUGUGAAGAUGCAGUGUACCCGCGGCAAGACGGAAAGACCCCGUGAACCUUUACUAUAGCUUGACACUGAACAUUGAGCCUUGAUGUGUAGGAUAGGUGGGAGGCUUUGAAGCGUGGACGCCAGUCUGCGUGGAGCCAACCUUGAAAUACCACCCUUUAAUGUUUGAUGUUCUAACGUUGGCCCCUUACCGGGGUUGCGGACAGUGUCUGGUGGGUAGUUUGACUGGGGCGGUCUCCUCCCAAAGCGUAACGGAGGAGCACGAAGGUUAGCUAAUCCUGGUCGGACAUCAGGAGGUUAGUGCAAUGGCAUAAGCUAGCUUGACUGCGAGCGUGACGGCGCGAGCAGGUGCGAAAGCAGGUCAUAGUGAUCCGGUGGUUCUGAAUGGAAGGGCCAUCGCUCAACGGAUAAAAGGUACUCCGGGGAUAACAGGCUGAUACCGCCCAAGAGUUCAUAUCGACGGCGGUGUUUGGCACCUCGAUGUCGGCUCAUCACAUCCUGGGGCUGAAGUAGGUCCCAAGGGUAUGGCUGUUCGCCAUUUAAAGUGGUACGCGAGCUGGGUUUAGAACGUCGUGAGACAGUUCGGUCCCUAUCUGCCGUGGGCGCUGGAGAAUUGAGGGGGGCUGCUCCUAGUACGAGAGGACCGGAGUGGACGCAUCACUGGUGUUCGGGUUGUCAUGCCAAUGGCACUGCCCGGUAGCUAAAUGCGGAAGAGAUAAGUGCUGAAAGCAUCUAAGCACGAAACUUGCCCCGAGAUGAGUUCUCCCUGAGACUUUAAGUCUCCUGAAGGAACGUU